rnacentral:rRNA from 1 species
UACGUAGGGGGCAAGCGUUGUCCGGAAUCAUUGGGCGUAAAGCGCGUGUAGGCGGUCCGGUAAGUCCGCUGUGAAAGUCGGGGGCUCAACCCUCGGAUGCCGGUGGAUACUGUCGGGCUUGAGUACGGAAGAGGCAAGUGGAAUUCCUGGUGUAGCGGUGAAAUGCGCAGAUAUCAGGAAGAACACCAAUGGCGAAGGCAGCUCUCUGGGACGGUACUGACACUGAGACGCGAAAGCGUGGGGAGCGAACAGG